rnacentral:rRNA from 1 species
UACAGAGGGUGCGAGCGUUGUUCGGAAUUAUUGGGCGUAAAGCGCACGUAGGCGGAUUGCUAAGUCAGGGGUGAAAUCCUGGAGCUCAACUCCAGAACUGCCUUUGAUACUGGCGAUCUCGAGUCCGGGAGAGGUGAGUGGAACUGCGAGUGUAGAGGUGAAAUUCGUAGAUAUUCGCAAGAACACCAGUGGCGAAGGCGGCUCACUGGCCCGGUACUGACGCUGAGGUGCGAAAGCGUGGGGAGCAAACA